rnacentral:rRNA from 1 species
GUGGGGAAUCUUCCGCAAUGGACGAAAGUCUGACGGAGCAACGCCACGUGAGUGAAGAAGGUUUUCGGAUCGUAAAGCUCUUUCGUUAGGGACGAACGUGCUCUUUGUGAAUAAUGAGGAGUAAUGACGGUACCUAAAUAAGAAGCCACGGCUAACUACGUGCCAGCAGCCGCGGUAAUACGUAGGUGGCAAGCGUUUUCCGGAAUUAUUGGGCGUAAAGCGCGCGCAGGCGGGAUAUCAAGUCUGUCUUAAAAGUGCGAGGCUCAACCUCGUGAGGGGACAGAAACUGGGAUUCUUGAGUGUCGGAGAGGAAAGUGGAAUUCCAAGUGUAGCGGUGAAAUGCGUAGAGAUUUGGAAGAACACCAGUGGCGAAGGCGACUUUCUGGACGAUGUCUGACGCUGAGGCGCGAAAGCUAGGGGAGCGAACGGGAUUAGAUACCCCGGUAGUCC